rnacentral:sRNA from 1 species
AUUUUUGUGAAUCUGAGGUGGGGUUCUACCUUUGCUUUUCCAGCGCUUAUGUACGAGACCAUUCACAGUGAGUUGUGAUUGCAGGGCGUGACGUGCUAGACCGCCAUUUUUUUUUUACCAUUCUGUAUUCCUAAAGACCAUACAUACUGGCGCUUGAUGUGUAGUCUGUGAACAUGCAGCUUGUUUGAACUCAGAAGGAUGUGAAGCAUGGAGUGCUUAGCCCACUGUGUAGCAUAUUUGUUGUGUCUGGAUGUAAUAUAACCACCUACUUGUAUGUAAUCGUUGGACAUUUUCUACUGAGACUAACUUUUGUAGGUCAGACAAGCAUUUGUCAGUUGUUGGAGUUCAAGGUUGAUUAAAGACAAGCUCUAAAUAGACUGUCUGGAAUGGACAUUGAUGAUCUGGAAUGGAAAAAAAAGUAUUAAAAAUUGAUCUACUUGCACAGGUGUUAAACUAUGAAUGAAAACUUAUGAGCCAUAUACUGGGACAUACAUUUCAAGGAACACUUUGCAGUAACAGCGGAUGUCAACUUCUUAAGAUAAAAGUUUAAUUUUAAAAUUGAAUCCAAUGUGACCCUGGAGGGCGUCAGUGCAUAAAUUGUGCAAAAGGUGCACUUUUAAGCACAAGUAGCACCUGGUUUCAUUGUUAUACAUUUAAAGUAUCUGCAAUAAAGCACCAACGAGAGAUGUGUUUGGAGUGAAGAAGGUCAGUUAUAGUAUUCAUAAUUUUGGCGCAUAUUUAUUCUUCCCGCCUGAAGGUCUACCUUGUGUGUAGUAUGUGGGUCGCCAUGUUGGAUGCAGUGAAAGUCAGGUUCUGGUUGUAGCGUUGUCUCUCAGGAUAAUACCAGCUGAUGGAUGAUAGACAGGAUUAAGUAAACAUUUAUCUGUAAACAAGGUAACUUUUUGUAAUGUCUCUCAUCCGUAAUCCAUAUAAUGAAAAUUUAGUCAGGUAUUGGGCUUUUAAUGAACAAGAUGGCGGAUGGCGUACCUCAUGUUUCUCCUGACUUGUUCUUUUUGAUAAGUAAAAAAGUUUCAAUUGGGAUUGUUUUACUUUUACAAAUCAUACAAAUGAAAUAUGUUUAUUAAAUCAUUAAAUAAUAACAAACAGAGACUUCAGCUAAAUAUAAGUCGAAGGUCAUAGAGAUAUAUCUUAUGCACAGUUUUCUUUGACCAGCAUUGUGCAUAACUUAUGUCGGUGGUGCACUGCGCAUGUACAAAAUAAGUCAAAACUGUUUUCGACAUUCAAAAAGAAAUUAACAUAGAUGUAGAAGUAAAAGGUGCUUAUAUCCAUCUAGAGGAUUUUUUAAGGAGAAUGUGACACAGAAAAUUUAAGCCGACGCAUGCGCCAUAGUUGAAGCCAUGCAGUUCACAUGUUAGGGUGCCUCAUUUGUUUAAAAAGGCAUGAUAAUUAAACAUCAUUAGUGGACAGUGUAUUUCUAUAUCAAAGGUUAGUUUUCAUAAUUUCC